UUUUUGAGUCCAUUUUUAAUUGUUGCGCUACUGGUGCUGCCUGUUGAUGUUAGAUAGGCAGCUACAGUAGCUGAAUGAUGUUAACAUCUUCGGGUUUUGUUUCAUUAAAUGUAUUUUAUUUCAUCUGGGUGCUUGCAUCACCUACUAACACCCUGGUACUACCCGUAGCUCACGUUCUCAGUCCGAGAAAACACAGAGAGAGAAAGAACAACUUUUCAGAUGGUGCAUUGGAGACUGAUGUGUUCCUGUCCUGUCUUUUCACAAUACUAUUGCAGCUGUGCUAAUGAAGACGGGAUGCAGAUGAGGGCGGAGGUCAUCUCCGUAGCGUUCGACCCCAGCACCCGCAGCAUGCCACUCUGACUGCCACAGGUUGAAGUCACACCCAAGUUAAUUCUUCAAUUAGCAUGAGCCAGAUAUUCGAGGAAGAUCGGAGGGCCCGCCAAUCGAUGUCCAAUUAGCGAGGCCUCGUGGACCAGAGACGAGACUGUUUUAUGGGCUUUGAUGAGGAUGAUGGUGCUGCCACUAACAUACAUGAUGAAACAAGGUUUCCCUAUCUCCUUGCUCCACUUCCACAGCCCAAUCUGCCCUCACCCCCACCCCUCGGCUCAUUCGCAGGCAUCAGGGUGGUCACCUUUGACCCGUGCCUUGCAGCCCCGUCUGAAAGAUGAGACAGAGAGCAGUUGUUUCGUGAGACAUCCAAGAGGAUAAAUGUCUGUUUGUUUAAACACCCAAGCCAGUCAUUCUAUCAUUUGAAGCAUUCACAUCACAGCGCAAUGCCCCUGCCCAGUAAAAACGAGUAUUAUUUCUCCCUUGAACUAAUGCACAGAGCCCUGCUGUUCUAACUGUCAUCUGUUAAAUUUCAGGACGUAACCUUGAGUCUAGCGUCUCCCCCCAUCUCCCCCUGGCUUUCAGCAAGCCCAUGGCAUCUUCAGAGGUUGGAGACUCUUGAAGUGUGAUCCAUUUAGAUAGUGGUUACUUUCUUCCUGUGCACACAACCACUCGCACACACACACACACACACACACACACACACACACACACACACACACACACACACACACACACACACACACACACACACACACACACGUGUGCCCGGACAAACACACACACACACAAUCACGUACACGCAGUCAUGCAGUUUUUUUGGUUGAAAGUCAUCCCAGAUAAGCUUGACAGACAGGUAGUAAAUGUUUGGAAAGUGUAUGUCGUGAGUCUGCUAAAUGACUCAAAUGUAAAUGUAAAUGUUAUGGUUAUAUGCUUCUUUAGGUACAUUUAUACUAUUUACAGUUUUAAAAUAGACAAGCAAUAACACCAUUAUAGUGUUUUAUUUUCAGGGUUUCAACUUCGAUCAGUUUCAAUGCCUGCUCAUUGCCUUCGACUUCAUUCAAAUACAUUCUGUUGUCCAAAUCAUCCCCAUAUGGUCCAUAUCAUCCCCCGUACGCUGUAUGUGAAGGUUUACAUUGAACAUUCCAGCCUUGUAUAUCAUCUCACUUACAUUCGCCUCACUCCAGCCCCACAUCUCCCCAUGCUCCAUCCCUCUAUUUUCUUAUGUUUUCCUCCUCUCCUCUCUCUCUCUCUAUUUCUCUCUCUCUCUCUCUCUCUCUCUCUAUUUCUCUAUUCCUCUCUCUCUAUUUCUCUUUUUCUCUUUUUCUCUAUUCCUCUCUCUUUUCUCUCUCUCUCUCUCUCUCUCUCUCUCUCUCUCUCUCUCUCUCUAUUUCUCUAUUCCUCUCUCUCUAUUUCUCUUUUUCUCUAUUCCUCUCUUUCGCUCUCUUUUUCUCUCUCUCUCUCUCUCUCUCUCUCUCUUUUUCUCUCUCUUUCUAUCUCUCUGUCUUUCUAUCGGUCUCUCUUUUCUCUGGCUCCUCUGGCUGGUCCCCCUGUGGCACACCGUGUCGUGUCCCUAAUUUAUUUAUAAUUAGUGCUCUUUGUCGGGAUGCGCGGGGAAUGUUAAAGUACAAGCCACUCCGCUCUGGGUACAAAUGGGCUAGUGUUCCUGCCUCUCCUCAACCCACCAACAUAGCGACCCACCGGCCAGUAGGGAGAGCUCUGCUGCUAGCCGCAACCACAGCCCCAGACAAAGGCCAGCACCUUCGGACGCAGCGGCACACACACGCGUACACGCACGGACGGACGCGGGCAUAUGCACACACGCUCACACAGAUCUACCGGUAAAUGGUUGAGACUGAACGGAAAGCGACGUACAGACUGCUUUUCUGCGUUAGUAAUAGGUGUUUGUUAUUGCGUUGCAAUUUUGAACAUUAUUUAGGGCGUAUUUGAAAAGGGUCCUGAGUGAAAUGUGAACGUGUUAGUGCAGAGUGUUCGUUUCUAGGUUUGCUUUGGUUGUUGGUGUAGAAAGACUGGGUAUGAAUUAUCACUGUUAGCAUUUCUUAUCACGUCUAUUAACGUCAACUCUGUCAUACUUCAUUAACCUCACCAAGAAUGGCAGUAGUGACAGGACACACACACA
rnacentral:lncRNA from 1 species